UACGUAGGUGGCGAGCGUUUGUCCGGAUUUACUGGGCGUAAAGAGCGCGCAGGCGGCUGGUCAAGUCCGGAUGUGAAAGCUCCCGGCUUAACUGGGAAAUUGCAUCGGAAACUGAUCGGCUGGAAGGUGGGAGAGGGUAGCGGAAUUCCCGGUGUAGUGGUGAAAUGCGUAGAUAUCGGGAGGAACACCAGUGGCGAAAGCGGCUACCUGGCCCAUUCUUGACGCUGAGGCGCGAAAGCUAGGGGAGCAAACGGGG
rnacentral:rRNA from 1 species